UGCUGUCACCGUGCAGUGCUGGUAACCGUAGGCCUGUGGGCGAAGGUGCGUGGCAACUUGGUAAUUUUACGCGCGGCGGAGGGACUAUUUGACGAGCGGAGGGAUCGUGUGGGCUCCCCGGGGGGUGAAGCGGCUGCAAAGCCAUGUGCUUCUUUGUUUACAAAAACAGCGGCCAGUCGAGAGCUGAGCUGAUGCCCUUCUUGAUUUUAUUUCGUAUUUUACGGUAAAUUCGCAUAGUCGCAACCGCGCUGAAAGCGAAACUCAACGUGGCUGGCCUAUAGUCCAAUUUAGACGAAAGGAUAUGGAUUUAUUAUCCUCCACCACAUCACCACUACCACCAAAGGCGAGCGAGAGAAACUGAUUGCCAUGAGGCGAGUGGAUCAAUUCUGUACACCGGCCUAGAGGGAUCUGUCGGGGAUUCAGACUUGGCCGUAAGUGGAGGUUUCGAUGGGACGAGGACUACAAGUUCAAGGCGUGAAGAUAGAAGGAAAGAGAGCUAUCCCUGCGAUGGAUCCCAACAGUGGGUGAAAAUGCGUCCAACAAAGAGAUGAAGUGCACGGGGGCAUUGUAUAGAAGCUGCCUCACAGCAGGAACGUCGAUGUCCCUGAACAUGGCCAACCCCACAUGGACCGGAAUGUACUGACCUGCUGACCCAGGACCAGCCGGUGCUGUGUUCACGCUCAAGUAAGGUGACCAAGGCUCAACCAAUAACAAUGAUUAGCUGGUGUUGAGAGGCGGAGACUUGGGCAUUUGCCAGCAAUCCCAGAGGGCAUUGCACUUGUCUCGGUCUGACAGUGCCGGCACACUGCACAGCUCCUUGGGGUUGUGGGAGGUCAUCGUCUUUUAGGAUGGUUGUGGAACCUAAACCGUCUCCUGUAGGAGAAAUCAGAUACUAGGUGAAAGAAGUAAAUGUAAUUGAUAACCUGCUGAUGAGUUUUGUCAGAUUGUCCUUUUAAUUAUUCCCUUUACCUCCUUAGGGCCCAGAAGCUGGUCAGUGUUGACAACCGUCCAAUAGGAGCAGUAGGUACUGGUCCUGCAGUUUCAUCUGCUUAGUUUCUCAGGAGUCCUGGACCGGAUUCAUAAGGAAUGUCAGCCCAGUUGAGGGGGGAAUUGCUGAAAUUAUAAUACGCUCUCCCCCCAGGAGGUGGGACUUGUUGGGAACAUGAAUGUGGCUCUUGAAAACGGAGAGAACAAGUGUUAUAGGGGGUGAGCAACAGUGAAACUCAAAGCUUGUGGUUCGUUUUAUUUAUAUUCUGUAGGUUUCACACACUACAUGGCUUAAAGGUACACUUUACAAAGUAGAAGUGGGUGAAAUAAUGCUAAUUUCUGUGGAUUUAAAUCAGAUUUCGGAAUCAGAUAACCCUGGCUGUGUAUGACUGUGCUUUUGUAGUAUAUGUGUACCACCAUCCACAUUAAUGAUGGGGCACCAUAUGUGAUGAUGUUUUCUGAAAGUAACGAUAUAUAUCCGUAAUGCAAAGAUGAAAAUUCAGUGCGUUAAAAGUAAAACCACUGUCAAGAGAGAACUGAUGGUGCUGCACUCCGAGCAUUCAGCUGCAUUGGCCUCUACCACUCUACCUACAUCUAACGCUCCAGCUAAAUUUAAAUUUGACAGUAAAUCUGAUUAUUUCAUAGCACAUAACCAUCUGUAUGUGUUCCACGGGUUGAGCUUUUCUUUCUGGAGUAGUUAUUCCAAAUGUUAUAUGUCAAAGCAGUAUAAUCUGUAAGGUACCGCUGAAUAAAAUUAUCAUCACUGGA